CUUGCACUCUCUGAGAGUGGCGGACGGGUGAGUAACACGUAGGUGAUCUACCUCUGGAUAGGGGAUAGCCCAUGGAAACAUGGGGUAAUACCGCAUAAAGCCUAUUUUUUAGAAAGGAUAGGUUAAAGGCGCAAUUGUGCUGUCUGCAGAUGAGCCUGCGGUCCAUUAGCUAGUUGGCAGGGUAAAGGCCUACCAAGGCGAUGAUGGCUAGCCGGCCUGAGAGGGUGUACGGUCACACUGGGACUGAGACACGGCCCAGAUCCUACGGGAGGCAGCAGCUAAGAAUCUUCCGCAAUGGGCGAAAGCCUGACGGAGCGACGCCGCGUGGACGAUGAAGGUCGAGAGAUUGUAAAGUUCUUUUCUUGGUGAAGAAUAAGGGGGAAAGUGGAACGUUCCCCUGAUGACGUUAGCCGAGGAAUAAGCCCCGGCCAAUUACGUGCCAGCAGCCACGGUAACACGUAUGGGGCAAGCGUUGUUCGGAAUUAUUGGGCGUAAAGGGCGUGUAGGCGGUUUUAUGAGCUGGUGUAAAAGGUCUUGGCUCAACCAAGAUUUGGCGCUGAGAACUGUGAGACUAGAGUUCAGGAGGGAAGCUGAAUUCAGGUGUAGGGUGAAAUCUGUAGAUAUCUGGAGACACGGUGCGAGGCGAGCUACAGCCAUGGACUGACGCUGAGGCGCGAAAGCGUGGGGAGCGAACAGGAUUAGAUACCCUGGUAGUCCACGCUGUAAACGAUGUGCACUAGGCGUUGGGUGUGAAGACAUUCAGUGCCGUAGCUAACGCGGUAAGUGCACCGCCUGGGGAGUAUGCCCGCAAGGGUGAAACUCAAAGGAAUUGACGGGGGCCCGCACAAGCGGUGGAGCAUGUGGUUUAAUUCGAUGAUACGCGAGAAACCUUACCAGGGCUUGACAUGUACCCGAAUGUCUAAGAGAUUAGGCAGCCUCUUUGAGGCGGGUACACAGGUGCU
rnacentral:rRNA from 1 species